UUUUGUUUUGUUCUACCCCAAUCAUUUGCCCCACCCCUUCCCUUUUCUCUACAGGAUUUUCUUUCCCUGCUCCAUGUCACUUUUAGUAGUAAUGUUCCUGUGUGGACAUUUUGGUUAAGGGCAUUUCCAGGCUCCUGCUCUCCUCGAUUUCCUGUUCCUCUCUACUUCAUUUCCUGUUCCUACAGGACUGAGAGAAAGCGUGGUGUUGGCAUGGUUUGUCUGCCAUGUUAGAGAUAAAUGCAAUUGUCUGCGUCAUGUUUACAAACGUGGCAGACCCAGUACUAGCCAAGCUUUCUUUCAGAGCAGCGACAAAGGGUUGAAUUACCUGACACAGUUUUAAAUAUAAUAGAUUAAAUACAAGAGCUGCAGAGCAAACUUUGAGCACAUCAUGGCUGCAAAAGGCUACAGGAUUUUGUCUCUGCAAGGUUGCUGUGUUAACUCGCGGGAGGUGAUAUUCAGAUUUACAUGGGACAUUUGGAAAUGUUUCUCUCCGACAAGAUGAAAUCCAGAUGUUCUUGUUAUAUUCAAAAAUGGUCAUUAAUUCUACUGCAACGCUGAAGCGCAUGGGUAAACUAGUUGUGGCAACCCAUUUGAAACUGUUAAUAUUGAGUUUUCCAAGUGAGUCCUCUGGCAUUGACAUCUAGAUUUGCUGUCAACACUUAGAAAUGGGCAUUCAUUCAACUGCUUAGCUGAUAACCUAGUGGCUACUCGUUUGAAACCAUUGUUAUUAAGGUCAUUCAUUUUCCGCUUAGCUGUACAUGAAUAAACUAGGCGUGGUCUGGCUUUUGAAAACUGCAAAAGAGUUCCAUAGUGACAUUUCUGACAGUAUUUAUAUUGAAUUGAGGAGGCAUGUCCAGCAAGAGGAAAAAUCUGCUACAAAGCUUUUGAAAACUGCUACUACUCUUUGCAACAGUGCCAGGCCAUCAGGUGAAGACACCCGAAGGCAAGGAAUCAUCAGCCCACUGCACUGUGUUCUCCGCUUGUCCUGAAAAGGCAUUCCCCAACACUGAUUUUCAAGACCUUGUAUCACAAGAUCUUUGUAUUGUUCUAUAGGGUAUUGUGUGAAAUUAUUUUGCUGCUGCAGUUAUGCAUCUACUCUAAACUUUAUUAAAAUAUGUUUAUUUAAAAAAAAAAG